AAGAAAGUUCUCAUGUUGACUUGUUGACAGUUUUGCUGAGAGAAGGGAAGGGAAAAGGAGAAGCACACGAUGAUAUAUUUCUAAGAGAUGCUGUGUUCAAUCUUUUUGUGGCUGGGAGAGAUACCAUAACUUCAGCUCUCACCUGGUUCUUUUGGCUUGUUGCUACAAACCCUUUGGUGGAGGCCAAGAUUCUUGAAGAGAUGAAGGAAAAGUUUGGAAGAAAUGAAAAGAAAGCAGAGGUUUUAAGUGUGGAAGAAGUGAAAAAACUGGUUUAUCUGCAUGGUGCUAUAUGUGAAUCACUGAGGCUGUUUCCUCCCAUACCCUUUGAACGCAAGGAAGCACUUAAAUCAGACGUGCUUCCUAGUGGUCAUGGUGUUAAUCCAAGCACAGUUAUAUUGUUUUGCUUGUAUUCAAUGGGAAGAUUUGAGGAAAUAUGGGGAGAAGAUUGCAUGGAGUUCAAGCCAGAGAGAUGGAUUUCACAGAAAGGAGGUAAUGUUUAUGUACCAUCUUACAAAUUCAUUGCUUUUAAUGCAGGACCAAGGACUUGUUUGGGCAAAGAUGUCUCCUUCAUUCAGAUGAAGAUGGUGGCAACUGCAAUUUUGCACAAGUAUCGUCUCCAAGUGGUGGAAGGUUAUGUUGCUAAGCCAAACCUUUCAAUCGUUCUUCUGAUGAAGGAUGGGUUAAAGGUUAAGAUAAAGAAAAGAGAAAUUUAGUUUGAUGUAUGUGGGAAUUCAAAUCUCAAACAGAAAAAAGUGCAAAAGAUAUAAAAUAAAGUGUCAUAUGUAUGUGAAAUGAAGCUAAUAAUGAUGGUGUAUAAGAUGCCUUUGGUUUGAUGAAUGCAUUUGGCUUAUUGCAGUAAGUUUCGAGGUUUGUCUUCUGGGCAAUGUUUUUAAAAUAUUAUAGAAAUGAGUUUUUUUUAGAAAAUUUACUUAUACGAAUAAGUAGUACACAUACCACAUCAUUUUAUUGUUGCAGUAGAAGUCAUGUUUAAUCCAUGUAACAUAAGUUUGACUAAUAUUAAUUGAGAUUUAUUUUUAUAUUCUUAAUGAGGGGUGUCGUAUUAGAAUGACUUUAAAGUUAUAUCUAAUUAAAGUUGGAUAGGUAUGUUUACCUGAAAUUAUGUUUGUUUCCUAUGAUUUAAUUAUUUAGUUAUUAAAUUUGUUUAAAUUAAAUAGAAAUUAAGACUAAAUUUAAAUAAAUUAAGUAAUAUUUGAUUAUACUCUGAAAAAUUAUUGGAUGAUUUAAUAAAAAAUAAACAAUGCACUAGUCUUAAAUAAAUAAAUAAAUGGCAUUUAACAUUUUAUUGUUUGAUAUUUUAGCAUUAUAAGUUUUUUUACGUGAAAAUAUUAAUUAUUAAAUUCAAAAUUAAUAUUGUGCAAUUGAGAAAUAAAUAAGAGUAGUUGGUAGGGUUUUAGAGAUCGAUUAUAAAAAAAAAAUAUUAAAAAUAUAGAAAUUAGUAAUUAAAUGUGGGAAAAUUGAAAAAAUUGAAGGUAGAAAUUUGACCAUAAAAUAAAGAAGAAACAGGGAAAGUUAAUAAUUGAAAUUGUAAUAUGAAUAUUGUUAUAUUACAUAAAAUAAUUUAUCUAUGAAAGGAUGUGCGACAAUGUGAUUUUUUUUGUUUGUCUUCUAGGCCUCCAUGGAUGGUGACGGUUGGAAGAUGGUGAAUGUGGAUCAAUAUUGAUGCCUUUGUUGUCAUUAUUAUUACCUUCAUUAUGAGGUCCUUAGGAGGAUAUGAUGGGACAACAAUAAUACAUGAAUAAUGUCAUAUUGUAUAUAGUUGUAUGAGUGAAUGUUGAAUUUUCAAACAUAUUUGGUUAAUCCCAAAAAAGAUCCUGUAGACUAGGAAAAUCAUUAUAUGGGUAGAGAACCUGUUGUCGUGGAGAAUGAACUACAAGUAGCAAUGCUGAUCCAUGUAUGUAGACAUUGAUAAUUGUUGAAGAUCGGACAAAUUGGACUAACCAACAUGAAACUGUUGACUACAAAAAGAAGAACCCAACAUGCUGAUAAGGAGGGUUGUGGUUGACAAUAGUACAAAACAAUACAUUAACGAUGGUUAAAAAGGUCAUAUAAAGACGGUUCGAGAAUAGUCGUUAUUGCGGGUAUCGUUAUAAAUCAACUGUUUAUAAUAACCCUCGUUAUAAAACAACAUUAACGACACGUGUAAAAAACUGUCAUUAUUCUACCAAAUAAAGGAAAAAUAAAAAAUAUAUUUAUAACGAGAGUUCGGGCCUAGAACCAUCAUUAUAACCCCAAAAAUGGAAUUUUAAGGACGGUUAUGUCAUUAUAAGUAAUUUAAAAAAAAUAAUAUUAUAUAUAUAUAUAUAUAUCCUAAUCUUGCAUAAAAUACCAGAUAAAUGUAAUAUAAUUAUAAUGGUUUGAUAAAUCUCUAAUUUAUACCAGAAAACAUCAUGCAAAAUUUCAGAAUUUUCUGACAAGUGUAAGUACGAGAACUAAAACCUCGAAAUACCUGAAAAAUACCCAAAUAAUACUUAAAAAUAAAAAAAUAAUAGUAAACAAUGGAUUUUUGGAAUUUUGGUGGAUCCCAAUAGUCCUCGGGGAUUGGCCAUGUGAUUUGUUACCUUGUUUCGACAAACUUUCAUUUUUUACGUGUCUCUAUCCGUCUUUUCUAUCAAAAGUUAUGGUCGUGUGAAGUUUCUUCAUGCUAAUUUUUGCCAACUCCAAAUCUAUCACUUUUCUCUUCAAUGUCAGGACUCUUCCAUCAAAUAUCCACUAAAUGAAGUUCCCACAAACCCUAAACUAUUAACUAAUCAAAACAUACAUUCAAAUAUUUAUAAAAAUUUAAAACCCAAAACCCUAAAAAUACUAACAUUUUGGAGCCAAGUCUGCGGUGGCAGUGUGUGGUGGAGAUGUUGGCGGUGUGCAGAAGGUGUUGCCGAUGUGCGAAGGUGAAGAGUUGGCGCGCGGAGGCGAAGGAAACUGUUUGCUUGUGCGUGCAGAGGAGAAAAAAAGAUGCUUGGCAUGUUGGGGAACUUCGAUGGUUGGCGCAUUUUGCGCUGACUUGUGUUGUGCGGUGUAAGGUUUGGACGACUGGACAAGGCGUGGAGAUAUGAGGAUGGAGUUGGAGGACGACGCACAACUUUUAGUGUAUUGGAGCAGAUGACGAGAAUGGGAGAAGAAGAAUGAAUGGAGGAGGGGCCAAAUCUUUGAGUGUAUUGGAGAGUGAGAGGCGAGAAUGGAGAAUGGAGGAGGGUGCAGAGAUUUGAUUGAAGGCGCAAAUGGGAGAAAAUGAGUGAAUGAGUGUGCGUGGGAUAGGUUUAUUUUUCGUUUUUUAACGAUAGUUAAGUGCUAAACCGUCGCAGUUUGGAUGCAGAACCCAUUUUUAACGAUGGUUCAGAAAAGAACCGUCGUAGUUUUCACAUAGGACCAUUUUUAACAAUGGUUCAAAAAGAAACCGUCGUUAUUUUGCAAUGAAAUGUUGAGUUAAUAACAAAAAUGCCACCGUGCUUUUUCCAACGACGGGUUUCUGCCAACUGUCGUUAUUCAGUGUGGUUUUAAAGAUUUGUUGUACUAGUUUGAGGUUGGUUAAACCUUAUGGUGUGUCGUACUGUUGAAAAAUAAUGUCAAAUUUUAGAUAUUACAUGAGGAAAAGUUAAAUGUAGUUAACUUAUAUUGUCGUCAGAUGUCAGUUCCAAAGGUGAUAUGUACCAAAUAAUAUGGUUAAUGUAUUAUUACAUGUAUAUUAUCGUGUCACGUAAAUGACCAUUACUGCUGAACUAAAUACCUUCAAUGAGAUGAUUGUGUUGAUCAAUCCACAUUACUAUCCACCUUUGAUGGUACCUCCAAUUUUUGUUUGUUUUAUUUCUCAUAUCUUCUUUGUACAAUUGAUAUAAGUUUAAUGGGUUUAAUGGAAUAUCUUGUUAAAACCUAAAUUGUCAUAUCACUCAAUUAACUUGAUGAAAUCCAAAGGUGGCAAAACAUAUCAAAUGAACUACUUCCCUAUUAACAGGAUAAACCUCAACAAAUUAUUAAGGGAGCGAUGUCGUCUCUGUUGUAAGGAGUCCACAAGAAUUGCUAAAAUUGUCAUUAAAUGUCAAGAUUUGAUGUAGGUCUGUUAAACCAGUUUUGGCUUUAACUAAUCUAACUUCUUCCUUAUUAAACUCACUAAACUCGUAGGAGGGUGUUGUAUCAAUGACAAUACACGAAACCACCUUGUAUAAAUAAUAAAUGUAUUAGAAAGAACAAAAAUGUUAAGAAUGAUUCAAAGUUUUAUUUGGAAAAGUAAUAGUGUAUAUAAAAAUUUACCUUUUUCGAGAGGAAUCAAGUCCUGAAACAAUGUCUUCUGCCAUUAAUGACUUAAUUGAUGGGAAAAGACAUUUAUUUCAUCCUCACCAACAUUGUAAUAACAACAUGCAACAUCCUAAAUUUUCUGGGUUGAAAUCAAUUCCAUAAUCUAAAGUACGAUACACAAGUCAAGACAACUUAAUCAAUAUAAUAUCUAAUUAUUUUUUUUAUCUCUAAAAUUAGUUUUUAUUUAAUAAUUUUAUUGUAUUACGAAGUAUUUGACAUAAGUGUACUAUCCAUAAGUAAAAGAAUGCAUGCUCAUUCGUUUUAAGGGAUCACAUCGUUGAUUUCAUGAAUAAGAAGUUUGUAAAAGUUGAUCUUGAAUCAAACUAAUUUAAUUUUGUUUUAGUAACAUUUGUGAGAGAUAUGAAUCCCAACAAUUAUUGGUAUAGGGAACCAAAGUCAACAAAAAAUAGUCUUUCUUCACGUGAAGAACCAUCCAAAUUGACACUCACCUAAUAUGUGCACGCUACCAUUUAUUGAUACUUGUUCUUGAUGUGAAUUAAGGGUCACAUUACAUCCAUUACUACUAUGUACUUAAACCUCCCUCAACUUAAGGACAAUAAAUCCCCCAUUUACGUCAUUACAUUUGCUACUCAAUGAAAUAUAAUCAACUUAUAAUAUGGAUGUUAGCUAGCCAUUUUUAAUUUUAUUAGAUGAUUUAACUUAGAUUAAACAACUUGUUAAUACAAUUCUAUUCACUUGUUCGAAAGUUUAUUUAUAACAAUUUGUUAAAGAAUUCAAGUUUAAUAUACUAUAUCAAUAUCAUAUAAAGGAUUUUUACAUUAUGAACUAAUUAUCAAUUAUUUUAAAUAUAAUUUUUUACUUAAUCAUUACAAAAUUUAAUAAUAUAUGUGAUAAUAUUUUUUUUUUCAGAAAGAUUAUUUAAACUAACUAACAAAAUUGCAUUAUUUAACUAAAUUUGAUGUUUUCAAAUGAAAUUUCAUAUUUAAAUUUUAUUGAUACUUCUCAAGAGAUACAUAUUAUAAAUUUCACUCUUAAAAUUCAUUAAAUUAAUCCUUAAAACUUAAAAUUAGGACAUAAUAAAAUAAUUAAAUCAAAGUAAUAUAUUUUUACAAAAACUAUGGGUUUUUACAUAAAAAUUAAAUAUCAAUCCAAUUAAAGCUUAUGUGAUACAAAGGGUCAUUAAAUAUCGGUAGAUAACUAUGAUCUUAAUUAUAGAAGAAAUUUGGAACUACAAAAACAAAAGCAUUUUUAAGAAUUACAAAAUUAAUCACAUUGAAAUGUUUACAAUGAUACAACUAAAUGUACGGUCUUGGGUUAUGUCUAAGGUAAAAACUUUAAGUUUCUCUUAUUUUGGGUUAUGUCUAAGGUAAAAACUUUAAGUUUCUCUUAUUUAGAUUGCUGUCUGGAUACUUUCAUAUGUAUGAAAUUAAUAAGAAAUUGUGAUAAUUAAUCAAAUUUAUUCAGAGUGAACUCAAUUCUUUUACAUGUAUGGUUACAUCUUAAAUAUUUUCUUAAAAAUCCAAUUAAGUGGAAAUAAGUGUCUGACCUGGAUAAGUUUCUCAAUUUUAUCUUUCAACGCUUGACACUCCUUAGUGGUAUGUCCACUGUUUCUAUGGUACCAACACCUACGAGUACGAUCGGCAUUCUCAAGGCUCGUGACCUUCCUAGGUGGUGGAAUCAACUCGGCGCUUAGGGCCUCUUCUAGGAUCCUCCGCCUAUUGACACUCAAGGGGGUAUAUGUCAUGAACCGACUCCCUCAGUUGUCUCUACACCUAUCCCCCCGACCAAAAGUUGGUUGGUUUUGACGCUAUUUCUCGUCCUUCCCCUUGUCUCCACUGGCCUCCGCUCAGGCCUGAUUUCUAAACUCUCUCAACUCCUCCGGUUGCAUAAACUUGGGGCUCUCCGUCUAAGCUCGUCCAAACUUGCAGCCGACUGCAUGCACAAGCUGUCAGCAAAUGGUUCCGACCGCAGGGCCAUCAACAUGAGAUGCAUUGCUCCAUCCGAGCUUAGGUUCCGGAUGCUCAUGACCACUUUACCAAACCUGUCUACAAACUUCCUCAGCGAUUCCUUCUUCUCCUGGCAGAUGCUGACCAGGACGAUGGAGGUCAGAUGAUGUGGUCGGCUGGUGGCAAAUUGUGUCCCGAACUUGGACACCAGUGCCUCAAAGCAGUCAACGGAGUUUGGGGGGAGCUUUGUAAACUAACUUAAAGCCCCUCCUUUGAGUGAUGUGGGGAAUACUCGGCAUAGGACUACGUCGUCCGAAGUAUACAAGCUCAUGUUCGUGGUGUACGCGUCCAUGUGCUCGUCCGGGUCGGUCAUGCCGUCAUAACAAUCCCUAUUGAAGCCUUUCCACUUGUCCGAUAGUUGUACUCCGGUUAUGGAGUCGGUAAAAGGGUGUCGGUGGACCGAUUCCAGAGUACCAGUCGUGGGGGUCGACCUGUUCAGAUUAGACUCGUCGUCAACCUCUUGGGUGUGAACUUUGUCCUUCGGCUCCUCAAUAGUCUUGGGGUUGGUGGGGGUGGUGAAGGACCUCCUAACAAGAUUGGUUGGUCCAGCGGACGGUCCCCCCUCCACAAACUUCCUUUUAAUCUCUUCAUUCUCCUUCCGGAGAGCCAGGAUUUCAUCCUCAUUCUUUCGAGUGAUCUUCUCAUUUCUUCUCUUCAUCUCAUCCAUCUCUCUUUGCAGAGACAUCAACAAUGCCAUAUUCUCAAUUUCAGACAUCCUUUCACUAGCCAUGCUUCGGGUUGAUACCAUCUACUUUUUUCUUCGCUCUAAUUCUCUGGGCCCCACGGUGGGCGUCAAUUGUUCUCAAUUGGGGUUGGGGCCUAGAGAACAAUUCAAGCUGCUCCUCUACCUCCUUGAUCGGUCGGUUUGCACUUCUGUUCCUCUCCAAGCAAGCUCCUUACUUUUCUCUUCUCACCCUACUCCUCGAUCUUCACGUAGUUCAGACUUGGAUGGUACCUGCAGAAGGCACUCUAAUGCUCAAGUCAGAUUUAGUAUUUGGCACUUGGUAUUCUGAGUAUUGUGUAAUGACGAACCUGAAUAUUAGAAUCUGUGUUAUUUAUAUUAUUUUGGUGGACCUUUCUUAUUGGGUCAGGUUAGAAAGUUAGGUCGUGUUUAGAAAUGUAUUACCUAACUCUUGAAUGCUGAUUAGCCUCACUAAUUCUGCUUAGACGUAAUUAACUUUGUGAUGUUGAUCGGUAUAAUAACGGGUACCCAGUCAUAGGCCGUUGGCCCUACUAGUACAUUAAAGAUGUAGCUGUUUCAGAUCUUGUGAAAUAAAGAAGACGUGCACCUCUAUCUACCUUCAUCCCAACAAUUUCUUCAAUUUCUGACCUAACUAGUCAACAUCAUCUUUUCCAACUUCGUACAAUGUUCGUCGUUUCUUCUAUAUUUGCCCAAAACAUUAAUAUACACUUUUCACGUGAACAUAAAUCAACAUCUAACCCUUUAUAAGAGCAUAAUAUCCAUGCAAGUGCCACACACAUCCUCAAGAAACAACCUAAGAAACAAAGGUUUUUGUGUUGUUCAUCAAUUUACUAUGGCACUAUUGCUUGGCCAUGCCGCAGCAACAGUUGCAGCACUCUUCUGCAUCAUCUAUUUCUUCCAUCGGAGACUAUCUUGCAGAUACCCUCUCCUCACUGACUACCCCAUCCUUGGAAUGCUACCAGAGGUACUCUGCAAUCUGUGGCGCAUCCAUGAUUUUGCCACUGAGGUAUUGAAACAGAAGGGGGGAACUGGUGACUUCACUGGACCAUGGUUUACCAACAUGAACUAUUUGUUCACGAGUGACCCCCUAAACGUGCGCCACGUCAUGAGCACGAGUUUCCACAACUACGUGAAGGGACCCGUGUUUCGUGACAUUUUUGAAGCCUUCGGAGAAGGGCUUGCAGCCGCUGAUUCAGAAGCAUGGAAAUACAACAGGGAUCUCAUUCAUUAUCUCUUAAAACAGAAAAAUUUCGAGGGGUUUCUAGAGAAAACCGUUCACAAGAAGGUCCAGAGUAGCCUACUUCCCGUAUUGGAUCAUGUACACCAACAAGGGAGUGUGGUGGAUCUUCAAGACCUCUUCAACCGCUUCACUUUUGAUAACAUAUGUUAUAUAGUUCUUGGCCAUGACCCUAAUUGCCUUUCCGUGGAUUUUCCCGAAGUUGAAAUUGAGAAGGCUUUUAAUGAAGCGGGAGAGACCAUUUUUCACAGACAUGUAGUGCCAAAGUGUGUUUGGAAGCUGCAGAAAUGGCUUCAUAUUGGGCAAGAGAAGAAGAUGACAGAAGCGUGUAAGACGCUUGAUGAGUUCAUAUAUGCAUGCAUAGCGUCCAAGAGAAAAAAUCUUAGCAAGUGCAUAGAAAAAAAUGAAACGGAAGAAACUUCUGAUGUUGACUUGUUGACAACUUUGAUGAGAGAAGGGAAGGAAAAAGGAGAAGAAUAUGAUGAUAUAUUUCUGAGAGAUACUGUGUUCAAUUUUUUUGUGGCUGGGAGAGAUGCCGUAACUUCAGCUCUCACGUGGUUCUUUUGGCUUGUUGCUACAAACCCUUUGGUGGAAGCCAAGAUUCUUGAAGAGAUGAAGGAAAAGAUUGGAAGCAAUGAAAAAGCUAUGGAUGUUUUAAGUGUGGAGGAGGUGAAAAAGCUGGUUUAUCUGCAUGGUGCUAUAUGUGAAUCACUGAGGCUGUUUCCUCCCAUACCCUUUGAACGCAAGGAAGCACUUAAAUCUGACUUGCUUCCUAGUGGUCAUGGUGUUAAUCCAAGUACAGUUAUAUUGUUUUUCUUGUAUUCAAUGGGAAGAUCUGAGGAAAUAUGGGGAGAAGAUUGCAUGGAGUUCAAGCCAGAGAGAUGGAUUUCAGAGAAAGGAGGUAUUGUUUAUGUACCAUCUUACAAAUUUGUUGCUUUUAACACAGGACCUAGGACUUGCUUGGGCAAAGAUGUCUCCUUCAUUCAAAUUAAGAUGGUGGCAACUGCAAUUUUGCACAAGUAUCGUCUCCAAGUGGUGGAAGGUUAUGUUGCUAAGCCAAACCUUUCAAUCGUUCUUCUGAUUAAGGAUGGGUUAAAGGUUACGAUAAAGAAGAGAGAAAUGUAAUUUGAUGUAUGUGGGAAUUCCGAAGUCAGAAACAGAAAGAAGUGUAAAAGAUAUAAAAUAAAGUGUGAUGUAUGUGAAAUGAAGCUAAUAAUGAUGGUGUAUAAUAUGCCUUUGGUUUGAUGAAUGCAUUUGGCUUAUUGCAGUAAGUUCCCAGGUUGUCGUUUUUUAACGACAGUUAAGUGCUAAACCGUCGGUGUUUGGAUGCAGAACCCAUUUUUAACGACGGUUCAGAAAAUAUCUGUCGUAAUUUUCACAUAGGACCAUUUUAAGCGAUGGUUAAAAAAGAAACUGUCUUAUUUUGCAGGGAAAUGUUGAGUUUGAGAAAUAAUGUCAAAUGUUAGAUAUUACAUGAGGAAAAGUUAAAUAUAAUUAACUUACAUUGUCGUUAGAUGUCAGUUCCAAAGGUGAUAUGUACCAAAUAAUAUGGUUAAUGUAUUAUUGCAUGUAUAUUAUCGUGUCACGCAAAUGACUAUUAUUGCUGAACUGAAUAUCUUCAAUGAGAUGAUUGUGUUGAUCAAUCCACAUUAUUAUCCACUUUUGAUGGCACCCUGUCCAAUUUUUGUUUGUUCUGUCUCUCAUAUCUUCUUUGUACAAUUGAUACAAGUUUAAUGGAAUAUCUUGUCAAAACCUAAAUUGUCAUAUCACUCAAUCAACUUGAUGAAAUUCAAAGGUGACAAAAAGUAUCAAAUGAACUACUUUCCUAUUACCAGGAUAAACCUCAACAAAUUAUUAAGGGAGCGAUGUCGUCUUUGUUGUAAGGAGUCCACAAGAAUUGCAAAAAUUGGUAUGAGACAAUAAAUGUUAAGAUUUGAUGUAGGUCUGUUAAACCAGUUUGGGCUUUAACUAAUCUAACUUCUUCCUUAUUAAACUCACUAAACUCGUAGGUGGGUGUUCAGAAUAAAUGUUUUAAAAAAAACAAAAAAGCUAAUAAUGAUUAAAAGUUUCAUUUGAAAAAGUAAUAGUGUACAUAAAAAUUUAUCUUUUGCGAGUGAAAUAAGUCCUACAACAUUUAUCUUUAAAAUUAGUUUUUAUUUAAUAAUUUUAUUGUAUUACGAAGUAUAACCAUAAGUGAAAGAAUGCACACUUAUUCUUCACGUACAACCAUUAAUGGUACAACAAAAACAAGUCAACAAAAAUUAGUGGAAAACCAUCCAAAUUGCCACUCACCUAAUAUAUGCACGCUACCAUUUAUUGGUACUUUUUCUUGAUGUGAAUUAAGGGUCACCACAUCCGUAUUACAUCCAUUACUACUAUAAACUUAAACCUCCCUCAACUUAAGGACAAUAAAUCCCCCAUUUUCGUCAUUACAUUUGCUACUAAAUGAAAUAUAAUCAACUUAUAAUAUGGAUGUUAGGUAGCCAUUUUUAAUUUUAGAUGAUUUAACUUAGAUUAAACAACUUGUUAACACAAUUCUAUUCACUUGUUCGAAAGUUUAAUUAUAACAAUUUGUUAAAGAAUUCAAGUUUAAUAUACUAUAUCAAUAUCAUAUAAAGUAUUUUUACAUUAUUAACUAAUUAUCAAUUAUUUUAAAUAAAAUUUUUUACUUAAUCAUUACAAAAUUUAAUAAUAUAUGUGAUAAUAUAAUUUGUUUUCAGAAAGAUUAUUUAAAUUAACUAACAAAAUUGCAUUAUUUAACUAAAUUUGAUGUUUUCAAAUGAAAUUUCAUAUUUAAAUUUUAUUGAUUUCUCAAGAGAUACAUAUUAUAAAUCUCACUCUUACAACUCAUUAAAUUAAUUCUUAAAACUUAAAAUUAGGACAUAAUAAAAUAAUUAAAUCAAAGUAAUAUAUUUUUACAAAAACUAUGGGUAUUAAAGCUUAAUUAUGUGAUACAAAGGGCCAUUAGUGAAUUUGGUGUGGGGAGGGCCAUUAGUGAAUUUGGUGUGGGGAAGUAUAUGGAUGACAGUUAUAGAAGAAAUUUGAAAGAACAAAAACAAAAGCAUUUUUAAGAAUAACACAAUUAAUCACAUUGAAAUGUUUAUAAUGAUACAACUAAAUGUAUGAUCUUAGGUCACUUUCUAAGGUAGAAGCUUCAAAUUUCUCUUAUUCAGAUUGGUGAAGGAUCCUUUCGUAUGUAUGAAAUCAAUAAGAAAUUGUGAUAACUAUUCAAAUUUAUUAAGAGUGAACUCAAUUCUUUUACACGUAUGGUUACAUCUUAAAUAUUUUCUUAAAACUCUGUCACUUUUGCUUUUCCCUUCGUGGGAUCGUUUGACACCUCGACCCCCUUGCACAAACUGACGAAGGUGACCAGCUUGGAUAAGUUCCUCAAUUUUAUCUUUCAACGCUUGGCACUCCUCAGUGGUAUGUCCAUUGUUUCUGUGGUACUGAAACCUACGAGUACGGUCGACAUUCUUAGGGCUCGCGACCUUCCUAGGUGGUGUAUCAACUUGGCGCUUAGGGCCUCAUCCAGGAUCCUCCCCCUAUCGACACUCAAGGGGGUAUACGUCGUGAACCAGCUCCCCCGGGUGUUUCUACGCCUAUCCCCCGACCAGAAGCUGGUCGGUUCUAAUGCUCUUUAUCAUCCUUCCCCUUAUAUCCACUGGCCUACGCCUGAGACUGAGUUUUGAACUCUCUCAACUCCUCCAGCUACAUAAAUUUGGCGGCUCUCCGCCUAAGCUCGUCUAAACUUGCAGUCGACUGCAUGCCCAAGCUGUCAGCAAAAGGUCCUGAUCGUAAGACCGUCAACAUGUGAUACAUUGCUACAUCCGGGCUUAGGUUCCAGAUGCUCUUGGCCAUUUUACCAAACCUGUCUACAAACUUCCUCAGUGAUUCCCCCUUCUCCUGGCCGAUGUUGACCAGGGUGAUGGAGGUUGACUGGUGGAAAAUUGUGUCCCGAACUUGGACACCAGUGCCUCUAAUCCGUCGACGAAGUUUGGGGGAGCUUUGUAAACCAACACAAAGCCCUUUCUUUCAGCGAUGUGGGGAACACUUGGCAUAGGAACGCGACAUCCGAUGUAUACAAGCUCAUGUGUGUGGUGUAUGCGUUCAUGUGCUCGUCUAGGUCGAUCAUGCCGUCAUAACAAUCCCUAUUGAAACCUUUCCACUUGUGCUGUAGUUGUACUUCGAUUAUGGAGUCGGUAAAAGGGUGUUGGCGGACUGAGUCCAUAGUACCGAUAAUGGGGAUUGACUUGUUCAGAUAAGAUUCACUGUCGACCUUUUGGGUAUGAAUUUUGUCCUUCGGCUCCUCAACAGUCUUGGGGUUGGUGAGGGUGGUGAAGGACCUCCCAACAAGAUUGGUCGGUCCAGCGGACGAUCCCCAAGAUUUCAUCCUCAUUCUUCUGAGUGAUCUCCUCAUUUCUUCUCUUCAUCUCAACCAUCUCUCUUUUUUCAGAGACAUCAACAAUGCCAUUUGCUUAAUUUCUGACAUCCUUUCAGUAGCCAUGCUUUAGCUUGAUACAAUCUACUUUCUUCUUCGCUCUGAUUCUCUAGGCCUCACGGUGGGCGCCAAUUGUUUUCGAAUGGGGUUAGGGCCUAGAGAACGAUUCAACCUGCUCCACUACCUCCUUCAUCGAUUGGUCGAUUUGCACUUCUGUUCUUCUCUUCUCACCCUACUCCUCAACCUUCACGUAAUCCAAACUCGGAUGAUACAUACAGAAGACACUUCGACCCUUAAGUCAGAUUUAGUAUUUGAUACUCGGUAUUCUGUGUACUAUGUAAUGACGUACCUGAUUCUUGAAAUCUGUGCUAAUUCUAUUAUUUUGGUGGGCCUUUCUCAUUGGGUCAGGUUGGAGAGCUGAAUCGUGUUUAGAAGUGUAUUACCUAACCCUUGAUUGUUGAUUAGCCUCAAUAAUUCUACUUAGGUGUAAUUGACUUGUAAUAUCAAUCAACAUAAUGACCGAAUACCGAGUCAUCCGUCGUGCUAGCCCUACCAGUAAAUUAAAGAUGUAGCUGUUUCAAAUCUUGUGAAAUAAAGAAGACGUGCACCUCUAUCUACCUUCAUGCCAACAAUUUCUUCAAUUUCUGACCUAACUAGUCAACAUCCUAUUUUCCAACUUCGUACAAUGUUCAUCGUUUCUUCUAUUUGCCCAAAAAAUUAAUAUACACUUAUCACGUGAACAUAAAUCAACAUCUAACCCUUUAUAAGAGCAUAAUAUCCAUGCAAGUGCCACACAUAUUCUCAAGAAACAACAUAAUAAACAAAGGUUUUUUGUGUUGUUCAUCAAUUUACUAUGGCACUAUUGCUUAGCUAUGCAGCAGCAACAGUUGCAGCACUCUUCUGCAUCAUGUAUUUCUUCCAUCGGAGAGCAUGUUGCAGGUACCCUCUCUUCACUGACUACCCCAUCCUUGGCAUGCUACCACAGUUACUCUUCAAUUUGUCGCGUUUCCAUGAUUUUUUCACUGAGAUAUUGAAAGAGAAGGGGGGAACUGGUGAGUUCACCGGACCAUGGUUUACCAACAUGAACUAUUUGUUCACGAGUGACCCCCUAAACGUGCGCCACGUCAUGAGCACGAGUUUCCACAACUACGUGAAGGGACCCGUGUUUCGUGACAUUUUUGAAGUCUUGGGAGAAGGGAUUGCAGCCACUGAUUCAGAAGCAUGGAAAUACAACAGGGAUCUCAUUCAUUAUCUCUUCAAACAGAAAAAGUUCGAGGUGUUUCUAGAGAAAACCAUUCACAAGAAGAUCAAGAAUAGCCUACUUCCCGUAUUGGAUCAUGUACACCAACAAGGGAGCGUGGUGGAUCUUCAAGAUCUCUUCAACCGCUUCACUUUCGAUAACUUAUGUUAUUCAGUUAAUGGCCAUGACCCUAAUUGCCUUUCCGUGGAUUUUCCCGAAGUUGAAAUUGAGAAGGCCUUUAAUGAUGCGGGAGAGACCAUUUUUCGCAGACAUGUAGUGCCAAAGUGUGUUUGGAAGCUGCAGAAAUGGCUUCAGAUUGGGCAAGAGAAGAAGAUGACAGAAGCGUGUAAGAAUCUUGAUGAGUUCAUAUAUGCAUGCAUAGCGUCCAAGAGAAAAAAUCUUAGCAAGUGCAUAGAAAAAAAUGAAACGGAAGAAACUUCUGAUGUUGACUUGUUGACAACUUUGAUGAGAGAAGGGAAGGAAAAAGGAGAAGAACAUGAUGAUAUAUUUCUAAGAGAUACUGUGUUCAAUUUUUUUGUGGCUGGGAGAGAUGCCGUAACUUCAGCUCUCACUUGGUUCUUUUGGCUUGUUGCUACAAACCCUUUGGUGGAAGCCAAGAUUCUUGAAGAGAUCAAAGAAACGUUUGGAAGAAAUGAAAAGAAAGCAGAGGUUUUAAGUGUGGAAGAAGUGAAAAAACUGGUUUAUCUGCAUGGUGCUAUAUGUGAAUCAUUGAGGCUGUUUCCUCCCAUACCCUUAGAACGCAAGGAAGCACUUAAAUCUGAUGUGCUUCCUAGUGGUCAUGGUGUUAAUCCAAGUACAGUUAUAAUGUUUUUCUUGUAUUCAAUGGGAAGAUCUGAGGAAAUAUGGGGAGAAGAUUGCAUGGAGUUCAAGCCAGAGAGAUGGAUUUCAGAGAAAGGAGGUAUUGUUUAUGUACCAUCUUACAAAUUUGUUGCUUUUAACACAGGACCUAGGACUUGCUUGGGCAAAGGUGUCUCCUUCAUUCAAAUUAAGAUGGUGGCAACUGCAAUUUUGCACAAGUAUCGUCUCCAAGUGGUGGAAGGUCAUGUUGCUAAGCCAAACCUUCAAACGUUCUUCUGAUGAAGGAUGGUUUAAAGGUUACGAUAAAAAAGAGAGAAAUGUAAUUUGAUGUAUGUGGGAAUAACGAUGUCAGAAACAGAAAGAAGUGUAAAAGAUAUAAAAUAAAGUGUGAUGUAUGUGAAAUGAAGCUAAUAAUGAUGGUGUAUAAGAUUCCUUUUGUUUGAUGAAUGCAUUUGGCUUAUUGUAGUAAGUUCCCAGGUUUCUCUUCCGGGCAAUUUCCUUCCGGCCCUAGCAUUGACAAAUUAAUAUUUUAUUGUAAAUCUUGUGGGAUGAAUUUGGGAUUGAAAUCUCAGCCAAAAUUCAAUAUACACAAUAAAUAAUAUCUGGUAAAAAUUUCAGACAAAAAGACCUAAGGAAUAAGGAGUAGUAAGUCGCAGACCGGAAGUGAACAAAAUUGGUUUUUCAAAAACAAAAUGUCCUUGUUUUCCUUCCCUAUAUCUCAUUUUUGUGAUUUCUUACAUGGGUGCAAAUAACAUAUGAAAGUACUUGUGUGAAUUUUUUUGGAAUAUUUCAACGUAAUACGUACUUAGAAUAAAAUUGCAGAAAAGUAGGACGAAAUGUCACAUUUUUUUGGUAGAUGAUAGCCUUGGUUUGCAAAAAAUUCUCCCAAAAUAAUUUUAUGCUGAAUAUCCACGUAAGAAUCUCGAUUGAAUUUGAGACAAAACAUGACAAAUUUCAGGUCAAACAAAUGAGUAUACCUAUGAAAAAAAUCAACAUUUUCACACAGAAACAAACCUUCCUUCUGACCCUGACAUUGAUGAAUAAAAAUUUUAUUGCAAAUCUUCUAGGACAAAUUUGGGGCUAAAAUAUCACCCAAACCUCAGUAAACACAAUGAUGAAUGUUUGGUAAAAGUUUCAGACCAAAAGACAAAAGGAAUAAGGCAUAGUAAGUCCUAGACCCGGAGUGAAACAAACUAGUUUUCCGAAAACAAAACGUCUUAGAUGUUCUUCCCUAUAUCUCCUUUUUGUGAUUUCUUUAUGGACGUGCCUUCUUACCUGGGAGCAAACAACAUAUGAAAGUAUUUAUGUGAGUUUUUUCGGAAAUUUUCAACUUAAUAUGGACCUAGAUAAAACUGUAGAAAAGUAGGGCGGAAUUUCACAUUUUUUGGUAGAGAAUAGUCGUGGUUUGCACAAAAUAUCUGAAAAGUUCUACCUAAAUAAUUUCCUGCUAAAAUUCCACAUAAGAAUCUUGACUGAAUUUUGGACAAAUCGGGAAAACUUUCAAGUCAACCGGAUGAGUAUUCACCUAUGCAAAAAAUCAAACAAUUUCACACACAAACGAACCUUCCUUUCGGCCCUUGGAGUGAUGAAUAAAUUUUUUAUUACAAAUCUUGUGGGAUGAAUUUGGGGCUCAAAUUUCAGCCAAAACACACAAUGACGAAUUUCAGGUCAAACAGAUGAGUAUUCAACUAGGAAAAAAAUUAAAUAGUUUCAGACACAAACUAGUUUUCCGAAAAGAAAACGUCCCGACUUUUCUUCCCCGUAUCUUCAUUUUGUGAUUUGUUUAUGAACGUGCCUCCUUACCUGUGUGAAAACAACAUAUGAGGGUACUUGCGUGAAUUUUUUCAGCGGAAUACGAACCCAGAAUAAAAUUGCAGAAAGUAGGGCGAAAUUUCACAAGUUCUGGUAGAGGAUAGCCUUGCUUUGGACAAAAUUUCUGAAAAAUUCUCCCGAAAUAGUUUUUUCCUAAAAUUCCAUGUAAAAAUCUCAACUUAAUUUGGGACAAAACGCGACAAAUUUCAGGUAAAACGGAUGAGUAUUUACUUAGGAAAAAAAUUACACAGUUUCACACAAAAACGAACCUUCCUUUUAGCCCUGGAAAUGAUGAAUAAUUUUUUUUUGCAAAUCUUGUGGCACGAAUUUGGGGCUCAAAUCUCAGCCAAAACUCAAUAGACACAAUGAUGAAUGCAUGGUAAAAAUUUCAUACCAAAAUACCCAAGGAGUAAGGCGUAGUAAGUCCCAGACCGAGAGUGAGCAAAACUGGUUUUCCGAAAACAAAACGUCCUGGAUUAUCUUCCCCGUAUCUUCUUUUUGUGAUUUAUUUAUGGACGUGCCUCCUUACCUGGUUGCAAAAGACAUGUGAGGGUACUUGCGUGAACUUUUUCAGCGUAAUAUGGACCCAAAAUCAAACUGUAGAAAGUAGGGCGAAUUUUACAAGUUUUGGUAGAGGAUAGCCUUGGUUUGUACAAAAUUUCCAAAAAAUUCUCCCGAAAUAGUUUUUUCCUGAAAUUUCACGUAAGAAUCUUGACUGAUUUUGGAACAAAACGAGACAAAUUUCAUGUCAAACGGAUGAGUAUUCACCUAGGAAAAAAAAUCAAAAAUUUCACACACAAAUGAACCUUUCUUUCGGCCCUGGCAGUGAUGAAAUUUUUUUUAUUAAAAAUCUUGUGGAACGAAUUUGGGGCUCAAAUCUCAAGCAAAACUUAAUAGACACAAUGAAGAUUGUUUGGUAAAAAUUUCAUAUCAAAAUAUCCAAGGUGUAGUAAGUCGCAUACCGAGAGUGAACAAAACUGGUUUUCCGAAAACAAAACGUCCUGGCUUUUCUUCCCCAUAUCUUCUUUUUGUGAUUUGUUUAUGGACGUGCCUUCUUACCUAAGUGCAAAAAACAUAUGAGGGUACUUGCGUGAAUUUUUUCAGCGCAAUACAAACCCAGAAUAAAAUUGCAGAAAGUAGGGCGUAAUUUCACAAGUUUUGGUGGAGGAUAGCCUUGGUUUGCACAAAAUUUCUGAAAAAUACUCCCGAAAUAGUUAUUUCCUGAAAUUCCACGUAAGAAUCUUGACGACAAAAUGUGACAAAUUUUAGGUUAAACGGAUGAGUAUUCACCUAGGAAAAAAUCAAACAGUUUCACACACAAACGAACCUUCCUUUCGACCCUGGCCGAGAUGAAUAAAAAGUUUAUUGCAAAUCUUGUGGGACGAAUUUGGGGCUCAAAUCUUAGCCAUAAAUCAAUAGACACAAUGACGAAUGUCUGGUAUAAAUGGCAUACCAAAAUACUCAAGGAGUAAGAUAUUACAUGACAUAUGGCGUGUCGUACUCUUGAAUAAUAAUGUCAAAUUUUAGAUAUUACAUGAGGAAAAGUAAAACGUAGUUAACUUACAUUGUCGUCAUAUGUCAGUUCCAAAGGUGAUAUGUACCAAAAAUGUAUUAUUGCAUGUAUAUUACUGUGUCAUACAAAUGACCAUUAUCGCUAAACUGAACACCUUCAAUGAGACGAUUAUGUCGAUCAGUCCACAUUACUAUCCACCUUUGAUGGUACUCUGUCCAACUUUUGUUUGUUCUGUCAUAUCUUCUUUGUACAAUUGAUAUAAGUUUAAUAGAUUUGAUGGAAUAUCUUGUAGAAACCUAAAUUGUCAUAUUACUCAAUCAAAUUGAUGAAAUUCAAAGGUGACAAAACAUAUAAAAUGAACUACCCUAUUAACAAGAUAAACCUCAACAAAUUAUUAAGGGAACAAUGUCAGCUCUCUUGUAAGGAGUCCACAAGAAUUGCAAAAAUUGUCAUUAGUACGAGACAAUAAAUGUCAUAAGAAUUGCAAAAAUUGUCAUUAGUACGAGACAAUAAAUGUUAAGAUUUAAUGUAGGUCUCUUAAACCAGUUUGGACUUUAACUAAUCCAACUUCUUCCUUAUUAAACUCACUAAACUCGUAGGUGGGUUUUUCUGGGUGACAGUGUACUAGAAAGAAAAAAAAAAGUUAAUAAUGAUUCAAAGUUUCAUUUGGAAAAGUAAUAGUGUGCAUAAAAAUUUAACUUUUUGCGAGUGGAAUCAAGUCAUACAACAAUGUCUUCUGCCAUUAAUUACUUAAUUGAUGGGAAAGGAAAAAACAUUUCAUUCUCACCAACAUUGUAAUAAUAGCAUGCAAUCUCUUAAAUUUUCUUGGUUCAAAUAAAUUCCAUAAUCUAAACUACGAUACACAACUAAGAGAACUUAAGUCAAUAUAGUAACUAAUUAUUUUUUUUUAUCUUUAAAAUUAAUUUUUAUUUAACAAUUUAUUAUAGUAAAAAAAUGGACGUACAUUCAUUUUAAGGGAUCACAUAGUUGAUUGCAUGAAAAAGAAGUUUGUAAAAGUUGUUCUUGAAUCAAACUAAUUCAAUUGUGUUUUCUUUAAUAACAUACACGUUUGGGAGAGGUAUGAACUCCAACCAUUAAUGGUACAACAGAAGCAAGUCAACAAAAAAUUGUCUUUCACUCACCUAAUAUAUGCACGCUACCAUUUAUUGAUAGCUGUUUGUUGUAUGAAGUUGAAGGCAUAUGUAACCUCCCUCAAACUUAAGGACAAUAAAUCCCCAUUUACGUCAUUACAUUUGCUACUUGUUCGAAAGUUUAUUUAUAACAAUUUGUUAAAGAAUUCAAGUUUAAUAUACUAUAUCAAUAUCAUAUAAAGUAUUUUUUACAUUAUGAACUAAUUAUAAAUUAUUUUAAAUAAGAUUUUUUACUUAAUCAUUAUAAAAUUUAAUAAUAUAUGUGAUAAUAUUAUUUGUUUUCUGAAAGAUUAUUUAAACUAACUAAACAAAAUUGCAUUAUUUAACUAAAUUUGAUGUUUUCAAAUGAAAUUUCAUAUUUAAAUUUUAUUGAUACUUCUCAAGAGAUACAUAUUAUAAAUUUCACUCUUCAAACUCAUUAAAUUAAUUCUCAAAACUUAAAAUUAGGACAUAAUGAAAUAAUUAAAUAACGUAAUAUAUUUUUACAAAAACUAUGGGUUUUUACAUAAAAAUUAAAUAUCAAUCCAAUUAAAGCUUAUGUGAUACAAAGGGCCAUUAAAUAUGGGUAGAUCAUUAUGAUCCAAAGGGCUAUUUCUACAAUUUAGAAUGAAGGAACAGUGAAUUUUGUGUAGGGAUUUAUAUGGAUGACAGUUAAGAAAUUUGGAAGCACAAAAACAAAAAGCAUUUUUAAGAAUAACAGAAUUAAUCACAUUGAAAUGUUUACAAUGGUACAACUAAAUGUAUGGUCUUGGGUCACGUCUAAGACAGAAGCUGCAAGUUUCUCUUAUUCAGACGAGUGCCUGAAUCCUUUCAUAUGUAUAAAAUCAAUAAGAACUUGGACACCAGUGCCUCAAAGCAGUGGACGAAGUUUGGGGGGAGUUUUGUAAACUAACUCAAAGCCCCUCUUUUCAGUGAUGUGGGGAACACUCGGCAUAGAACUGCGUUGUUCGAGGUAUACAAGCUCAUGUGCGUGGUGUACACAUUCAUGUGCUUGUCCGGGAUAUAGGAAGUCCACUUCUGGUUACUGUAUAUGGGUUGGGAUACCCCUGAAGUAUCCCCUUUAAUUUUACUUAUUCAUUGCUGAUCAAAAAAAAAAAUGUGCUUGUCCAGGUCGAUCGUGCCAUCAUAACAAUUCCUAUUGAAGUCUUUCCACUUGUCCGGUAGUGGUACUCCGAUUAUGGAGUCGGUAAAAGGGUGUUGGCAGACCGAGUCCAUAGUACCGGUCGUGGGGAUCAACCUGUUCAGAUAAGACUCGCCUUUGACCUCUUGGGUGUGAACUUUGUCCUUCGGCUCCUCAACAGUCUUGGGGCCGGUGGGGCUGGUGAAGGACCUCCCGACAAGAUUGGUCAGCCCAACAACUGUCCCCCCUCCACACUUUCUUUUCAUCUCUUCAUUCUCCUUUUGAAGAGCUAGAAUUUCAUUCUCAUUCUUCCAAGUGAUCUCCUCAUUUCUUCUCUUGAUUACCUAACUCUUGAUUGUUGAUUAGGCUCACUAAUUCUGUUUGGCUUUGUGGUGUCAAUCGACAUAAUGAACAGGUACCGAAUCAUAGUCUUGAUCGAGCUGGCCCUACCAGUACAUUAAAGAUGUUGCUCUUUGUGAAACAAAGAAGACGUGCACCUCUGUCUACCUUCAUGCCAACAAUUUCUUCAAUUUCUGACCUAACUAGUCAACAUCCUCUUUUCCAACUUCGUACAAUGUUCAUCGUUUCUUCUAUAUCUCCCCAAAAAUUUAAUAUACACUUUUCACGUGAACAUAAAUCAACAUCUAACCCUUUAUAAGAGCAUAAUAUGUAUGCAAGUGCCACACACAUCCUCAAGAAACAACAUAAGAAACAAAGGUUUUUGUGUUGUUCAUCAAUUUACUAUGGCACUAUUGCUUGGCUAUGCAGCAGCAACAGUUGCAGCACUCUUCUGCAUCAUGUAUUUCUUCCAUCGGAGAGCAUGUUGCAGGUACCCUAUCCUCACUGACCACCCCAUCCUUGGCAUGCUACCACAGUUACUCUUCAAUUUGUGGCGUUUCCAUGAUUUUUUCACUGAGAUAUUGAAACAGAAGGGGGGAACUGGUGAGUUCACCGGACCAUGGUUUACCAACAUGAACUAUUUGUUCACGAGUGACCCCCUAAACGUGCGCCACGUCAUGAACACGAGUUUCCACAACUACGGGAAGGGACCCGUGUUUCGUGACAUUUUUGAAGUCUUCGGAAAAGGGAUUGUAGGCACUGAUUCAGAAGCAUGGAAAUACAACAGGGAUCUCGUUCAUUAUCUCUUGAAACAGAAAAAGUUCGAGGUGUUUCUAGAGAAAACCAUUCACAAGAAGAUCCAGAAUAGCCUACUUCCCGUAUUGGAUCAUGUACACCAACAAGGGAGCGUGGUGGAUCUUCAAGAUCUCUUCAACCGCUUCACUUUCGAUAACUUAUGUUAUUCAGUUAAUGGCCAUGACCCUAAUUGCCUUUCCGUGGAUUUUCCCGAAGUUGAAAUUGAGAAGGCCUUUAAUGAUGCGGGAGAGACCAUUUUUCGCAGACAUGUAGUGCCAAAGUGUGUUUGGAAGCUGCAGAAAUGGCUUCAGAUUGGGCAAGAGAAGAAGAUGACAGAAGCGUGUAAGAAUCUUGAUGAGUUCAUAUAUGCAUGCAUAGCGUCCAAGAGAAAAAAUCUUAGCAAGUGCAUAGAAAAAAAUGAAACGGAAGAAACUUCUGAUGUUGACUUGUUGACAACUUUGAUGAGAGAAGGGAAGGAAAAAGGAGAAGAACAUGAUGAUAUAUUUCUAAGAGAUACUGUGUUCAAUUUUUUUGUGGCUGGGAGAGAUGCCGUAACUUCAGCUCUCACUUGGUUCUUUUGGCUUGUUGCUACAAACCCUUUGGUGGAAGCCAAGAUUCUUGAAGAGAUCAAAGAAACGUUUGGAAGAAAUGAAAAGAAAGCAGAGGUUUUAAGUGUGGAAGAAGUGAAAAA
rnacentral:lncRNA from 1 species